UACAGAGGUCCCAAGCGUUGUUCGGAUUCACUGGGCGUAAAGAGCGUGUAGGCGGCUAGAUAGGUCCGUUGUGAAAACUGGAGGCUCAACCUCCAGCUGUCGAUGGAAACCAUCUGGCUAGAGUCCGGAAGAGGAGAGUGGAAUUCCUGGUGUAGCGGUGAAAUGCGCAGAUAUCAGGAGGAACACCGAUGGCGAAGGCAGGUCUCUGGGCCAUAACUGACGCUGAGAAGCGAAAGCAUGGGGAGCGAACAGG
rnacentral:rRNA from 1 species